GUGGGGAAUCUUCCGCAAUGGACGAAAGUCUGACGGAGCAACGCCGCGUGAGUGAUGAAGGUCUUCGGAUUGUAAAGCUCUGUUAAUCGGGACGAAAGAGCCUAGUGUGAAUAAUGCUAGGAAGUGACGGUACCGGAAUAGAAAGCCACGGCUAACUACGUGCCAGCAGCCGCGGUAAUACGUAGGUGGCAAGCGUUGUCCGGAAUUAUUGGGCGUAAAGCGCGCGCAGGCGGAUCUGCCAGUCUGUCUUAAAAGUUCGGGGCUUAACCCCGUGAUGGGAUGGAAACUACAGAUCUAGAGUAUAGGAGAGGAAAGUGGAAUUCCUAGUGUAGCGGUGAAAUGCGUAGAUAUUAGGAAGAACACCAGUGGCGAAGGCGACUUUCUGGACGAAAACUGACGCUGAGGCGCGAAAGCCAGGGGAGCGAACGGGAUUAGAAACCCGGGUAGUCC
rnacentral:rRNA from 1 species